CCAUCUCCUAUAUUUCUUGUGUAUUGGUGGUUAGAUUUAGAAACCUGAUGAGAUUCAUGUCCCACAUUUUUGGCAAGAAAAAUUCCCAGGCGGCUCUUUGAAUUUCUUCUUGCGUCACAUCAGGCACCUGGUGCCUGGUGCCCCAGUUUUAGUGAUGCGAAGAUUGAUUAGCGGUCUGCAGCACUCCUAACAACCUUUCUUGACCGCAUCCUGGGAUCACUGCCCUGGAAACAUCCUCUCCCUUUUCUUAGCCCCUGCUUUCUUCCCUAGCCUGCCUGGCUUCUACGCUCCCAAGCCCAUCUUCUAGGCACCCAGAUUGAGGCUCCAUGGCAAGCAGCAGGGACAGGGGCAGCAGAUAGCCUGAACCCAGGAAAGAGAUGUGUGUGACCCUUGCAUGUCUCCAGGUUACAUCCACUACCAGCCUGCCCAGGACCGGCUGCAACCCCACCUCCUGGAGAUGCUGAUUCAGCUGCCGGCCAACUCAGUCACCAAGGUUUCCAUCCAGUUUGAGCGGGCGCUGCUGAAGUGGACCGAGUACACGCCAGAUCCUAACCAUGGCUUCUAUGUCAGCCCAUCUGUCCUCAGCGCCCUUGUGCCCAGCAUGGUAGCAGCCAAGCCAGUGGACUGGGAAGAGAGUCCCCUCUUCAACAGCCUGUAAGUGUGACCACACUCACUGAUAACACAUCCUCAGCUGCCUGCUGGGCCUUAACACAGGUGACCAGGCUCCUGCAGGGGACGUCAAGGUAGAUGUUACAUCUUCCAAAGAGAUGUGUAGAUUUAAUUCAAUCCUAAUAAAAAUCCUGGCAGUCUGUGGAAUUUGUGAAGACUUUAUAAAAUGAUUUUAAAGUGCUUCUAAAAGAAUACUUUUACUUACAGCUUACAUUUACUCCUUGAUGCUCUUAAAUAUUUAAUCAAGCACUUAUCAAAUGCUAAGUGCUUCUGAGAGCACUGGGUGUACAAGACUAAACAAAACAGACUUGGCCCUGGCCUCCCUUUGCUUACAGUCUAGAGGGAAGAUUCUGGUCUAGAGAGUAAUGGGGUUAGAGGUGGGGUAGGAAUUGAUUUACUGGGUUAUCUAGGAAGGCUUCGUUGAGGAGGUGGCAUUUAGGCUGAAACCAGGCUAAGAAAGAGGCAACCAAGCAAAGGCAGGGCCCCUUUCCUCCACUUCAACACCAGGCUUCUCUCUCUCC
rnacentral:sRNA from 1 species